rnacentral:lncRNA from 1 species
UGGAGCUGCCAUGUGAUCCCAGGAAGACAGGACGCAUUCUGCCUGCAUCCUCAAGAUGAGUCUUAUAAAAUAUAUGGAUUAAUAGUUAUGGUUGAUAAUUAACACUGAGCUAGCAAGUAAGAAAUCCUAGUCAUUGGCCAGCAGCAUUGUAUAUUAUUUUGGGUGCCCAUGUGACGGGAGGGACUCAGGUGGGAUGGUGGAAAGAUUUAUCGUUACAGUGGUGUAUGCCUUCAAUCCCAGCACUUGAAAAGUAGAGGCUGGCAGAGCUCUAAGUUUGAGGCCAACGUGGUCUACAGAGAAAAUUUCAGGACAGCCAAGCUUUGGCAGUGAAGGACAGAAAGCUGGUGAAGAUAUAAUUGAAGGAAGGGCCAUGUUUUAGCUCCAGUAAGUAGCAGAACUUGGCAGCUUCGGCCACACGGUUCCAGCCUUAGAGUUAAGAAUAGAAGAAAGGGUUAUGGAAUUUGCCUCAGACACCAAGGAAAGCUGCUGAGGCCAGGCAUGUGUCAGGAGUGACCCUGUAUAGGGGCCCAGAGAAGCCAUUUUGUGAAGCUGUGAAGUUGAAGCCUGGAUUGCCUUUGGAGAACCCAAGAUGUUGGAGAUGCCAGGGUCCUGGGAUACCUGGCGAGGAGAGCUGCUCACAGGGAGUAGAACCAGCCCAAGAGAAAGAAGUGUGUUGUAGUCAACAAAGCUGAAUGGAGUUGGAAAUCUGAAGAGCACUUUGACAUCAGACAUGGAGAUGCAGAAUUUAGAGUGUGCUUAGCUGGUUUUCAGUCUUGCUUUGGUCCAUUGUUUCCUCAAAUGCUUCCUUCCCUACAUUUUGGAGCGGUAAUGUAUAUCACACAAUUAAAUAUAUUUUGGAAGUGCGUGACCUGCUUUUUGAUUUUGAUUUUACCGGGGAUUACAGUUCAGAGAUUGCUAUGAGUCUCAGAAGAGACAUUAGACUUUGGACUCUGAAACAAGUUUGAGACUGUUAUAGAUUAUGGGGACUUUUGAAGUUGGACUGGAUGUAUUUUUUGCAUUUUGAUAUGACUUCAAGUCUUUGGGGGGGGUCAGGGAGUGGAAUGUGGUGGUUUGAAAAAAAAAUGCGCCCCCUAAAAGGAGUGGCACUUUUAGAAGGUAUGGCUUUGUUGGAGUAGGUAUGGAAUUGUUGGAGGAAGUGUAUCACUUUGGGGGCCAGCUUUGAGGUCUCCUAUGCUCAAGAUACCACCCUGUGUCACAAUCUACUUCCUGCUGCCUUCUGAUCAAGAUGUAGACAGCAUCAUGUUUGCCUGCACACUGCCACGCCCCCUGCCAUGAUGAUAAUGAACUUCUGAGCUGUGACACAGGAACACAGACAUGGAUGGGCCUUACUGAAAUACGAGGCAGAGGAAACAAGGGCAGGGUGUGGUGCUGAGUUGUGGACCCAUUAGGGACCAGCUUUUUAUAACAGGCAGGCCAGCUGCUGGCUCCGCCUCAUUUCCUCCAAGAAGACUGGUGGGCACUGAAGAAACUUCAUCUUGAGUCAAUGGCAACGAUGGCCACUGAACAACCCUGCCCUUCACCUCAACUGCUACAAAGUAUUCCAGACCAUGGACAAGAGGACAGUGGAAUCAACUUUCCCCAUGUUGGGUCAAUGGUCAAAGAGGUACCAAGUUCCAUACAGCCUGGACUUCGAUGGAGCAACCAGAUACCCCAGGACUUGGCAGCAUCCCAGCUUUCUCAGGUCCUCCAAAGAUGGUCAACACCCUCCAUGUUAGCAGGAAGCAGUCUUGAGACUUCGACGCCCUUAUUCCUUAAUCUGCCAUGUCUAACACCCCACCUUUUUAAUAAUAAGUAAAGGUGGGAUUGAAAGGUUCAGGCAUUAUGCUGGCCUGCCCCUGUCACCUGGCAGAAUCCACUCAGGCAGCACCCUGGUCAUCCCAGGGUUCCAUGGGAACUAAGUCUGCACACAGGUAUAGAGGACCCCUUUAAAAGAUAGACCCCUGCCCACUUACACUCUCUUCUCUCUCUGCCUCUCUCUCUGCUUCUUCUCCUCUCUUCUAUUUCUCUCUCACUCACUCUCCAUGAAAUAAUAAACUGGUUAAUGUAU